CUUUGGAUCCCCACGACAAACAAUUGUCAACAAUGUGAACCAACAUGUGAACAAAGAAAAUUUGUGCCGUCACCCCGUCACCAUGACAACGUUUAACGUUUAUUAUUGAAGGAAAAACUGUUUUUCCGCCCAAAAUCUCAACGAACUCAUUUCACCACCACCAUGGCUGUCAACGCUUGACGUCGAAGAAUGCGGCUGCCUGUCGAUUUCCUUUCGAGGAAUGCUAUCGGCCAUCUAAUGAAAUCUCGCCUCCAUUCAGCUUCUGCCUCUGAGGACGAGGCGCGCGAGACAGUUGAGCUCUCCUGACGCUGAUCGAGAACGCAACUAAUCCAGAUAGUGUUGAUUACACACUACGCGGCCCGAAAAUGAUCGACGAAGUGAUCAAGCUGUGGCUUUGAUCUGAUCCAGUAUGCUGACAAGGUGGGCCCGGUCAUCGUCGACUUUCUCAACUUUGGCUACCAACACCUCGUCGUCCACGGCACUACAGAGCUUCCCAGUCCCCACUUGCGUCAGCUUUGUGCUCCUCGCUAAGAACGGCAAAGUAACUUCGGCAAGCUGCUCCACUUGGGGUUGACGUGAUCGACCUGGAAUCCAAGUUAAUGGCUCUGUUCUCACAGGGCCUGCCAUUGAUGGAGCACAACAAACUGACUCAGCAGUUGCAGCAAAAGUCAUGGGAACUCAGCCAAACCAUUGUGGAAGUGCACGAGGAAAAGCGCAUUCUGAAACGAAGGAGCAAACACUUGGACCUUGGACGUGUUAUAUGAUCCGUGAAGACGAGCUGAAUAGAGAAAAGGAGACGUUUGAGUAUGAAGUGGCCAGUAAGAGACAGAUAAUUCUUUAUUAUAUUAUGUUAAAAAAAUUAAUAAUAAAACAGUUUUAAAACGUUACA